GACGAACGCUGGCGGCGUGCUUAACACAUGCAAGUCGAACGGAAAGGCCCUGCUUUUGUGGGGUGCUCGAGUGGCGAACGGGUGAGUAACACGUGAGUAACCUGCCCUUGACUUUGGGAUAACUUCAGGAAACUGGGGCUAAUACCGGAUAGGAGCUCCUGCUGCAUGGUGGGGGUUGGAAAGUUUCGGCGGUUGGGGAUGGACUCGCGGCUUAUCAGCUUGUUGGUGGAGUAGUGGCUUACCAAGGCUGUGACGGGUAGCCGGCCUGAGAGGGGGACCGGCGACAUUGGGACUGAGAUACGGACCAGAAGCCUACGGGAGGCAGCAGUGGGGAAUAUUGCACAAUGAGCGGAAGCGUGAUGCAGCGACGCUGCGUGCGGGAUGACGGGCUUCGGGUUAUAAACCGCUAUCGCCUGUGACGAAGCGUGAGUGACGGUAAUGGGUAAAGAAGCACCGGCUAACUACGUG
rnacentral:rRNA from 1 species